CCCACUGUGUUGCCCAUGUGCUGGGGCCGACAGGGGAGAUCCUUUGAUCAACAAUUUUUCCUCCCUCGAGCAUGCUGGUCGGACCGUUACCGUACGUUACCAUGACAAUGCUCUGACACAGCGUUCUGCUCACAGGAAGAGAGAAGUCAGCCUUUGUAGCACAACGCAACACCAGACCACCAGGGAUUGUAGUGUGCCCCCCAUCCUUCACUAAAUGUAAGAAG